rnacentral:rRNA from 1 species
GACGAACGCUGGCGGCGUGCUUAACACAUGCAAGUCGAACGGAAAGGCCCAGCUUGCUGGGUGCUCGAGUGGCGAGCGGGUGAGUAACACGUGGGUGAUCUGCCUCUAACUUCGGGAUAAGCUUGGGAAACUGGGUCUAAUACCGGAUAGGACAAUCGUUUAGUGUCGGUUGUGGAAAGUUUUUUCGGUUAGGGAUGAGCCCGCGGCCUAUCAGCUUGUUGGUGGGGUAAUGGCCUACCAAGGCGUCGACGGGUAGCCGGCCUGAGAGGGUGGACGGCCACAUUGGGACUGAGAUACGGCCCAGACUCCUACGGGAGGCAGCAGUGGGGAAUAUUGCACAAUGGGCGGAAGCCUGAUGCAGCGACGCCGCGUGGGGGAUGACGGCCUUCGGGUUGUAAACCGCUUUCGACAGGGACGAAGCGUUGGUGUCGGUACCUGUAUAAGAAGCACCGGCUAACUACGUG